rnacentral:rRNA from 1 species
CACUAUCGUUAACUGAAUACAUAGGUUAACGAGGCGAACCGGGGGAACUGAAACAUCUAAGUACCCCGAGGAAAAGAAAUCAACCGAGAUUCCCCCAGUAGCGGCGAGCGAACGGGGAGCAGCCCAGAGUCUGAAUCAGCUUGUGUGUUAGUGGAACGGUCUGGAAAGUCCGACGGUACAGGGUGAUAGUCCCGUACACCAAAAUGCACAGGCUGUGAACUCGAAGAGUAGGGCGGGACACGUGGUAUCCUGUCUGAAUAUGGGGGGACCAUCCUCCAAGGCUAAAUACUCCUGACUGACCGAUAGUGAACCAGUACCGUGAGGGAAAGGCGAAAAGAACCCCGGCGAGGGGAGUGAAAAAGAACCUGAAACCGUGUACGUACAAGCAGUGGGAGCACCUUCGGGUGUGACUGCGUACCUUUUGUAUAAUGGGUCAGCGACUUAUAUUCUGUAGCAAGGUUAACCGUAUAGGGGAGCCGCAGGGAAACCGAGUCUUAACUGGGCGUUAAGUUGCAGGGUAUAGACCCGAAACCCGGUGAUCUAGCCAUGGGCAGGUUGAAGGUUGGGUAACACUAACUGGAGGACCGAACCGACUAAUGUUGAAAAAUUAGCGGAUGACUUGUGGCUGGGGGUGAAAGGCCAAUCAAACCGGGAGAUAGCUGGUUCUCCCCGAAAGCUAUUUAGGUAGCGCCUCGUGAAUUCAUCUUCGGGGGUAGAGCACUGUUUCGGCUAGGGGGUCAUCCCGACUUACCAACCCGAUGCAAACUACGAAUACCGAAGAAUGUUAUCACGGGAGACACACGGCGGGUGCUAACGUCCGUCGUGAAGAGGGAAACAACCCAGACCGCCAGCUAAGGUCCCAAAGUCAUGGUUAAGUGGGAAACGAUGUGGGAAGGCACAGACAGCCAGGAUGUUGGCUUAGAAGCAGCCAUCAUUUAAAGAAAGCGUAAUAGCUCACUGGUCGAGUCGGCCUGCGCGGAAGAUGUAACGGGGCUAAACCAUGCACCGAAGCUGCGGCAGCGACACUAUGUGUUGUUGGGUAGGGGAGCGUUCUGUAAGCCUGCGAAGGUGUGCUGUGAGGCAUGCUGGAGGUAUCAGAAGUGCGAAUGCUGACAUAAGUAACGAUAAAGCGGGUGAAAAGCCCGCUCGCCGGAAGACCAAGGGUUCCUGUCCAACGUUAAUCGGGGCAGGGUGAGUCGACCCCUAAGGCGAGGCCGAAAGGCGUAGUCGAUGGGAAACAGGUUAAUAUUCCUGUACUUGGUGUUACUGCGAAGGGGGGACGGAGAAGGCUAUGUUAGCCGGGCGACGGUUGUCCCGGUUUAAGCAUGUAGGCUGAUUGUCCAGGCAAAUCCGGAUAAUCAAGGCUGAGGUGUGAUGACGAGGCACUACGGUGCUGAAGUAACAAAUGCCCUGCUUCCAGGAAAAGCCUCUAAGCAUCAGGUAACAUUAAAUCGUACCCCAAACCGACACAGGUGGUCAGGUAGAGAAUACCAAGGCGCUUGAGAGAACUCGGGUGAAGGAACUAGGCAAAAUGGUGCCGUAACUUCGGGAGAAGGCACGCUGGUGUGUAGGUGAAGUCCCUGCGGAUGGAGCUGAGACCAGUCGAAGAUACCAGCUGGCUGCAACUGUUUAUUAAAAACACAGCACUGUGCAAACACGAAAGUGGACGUAUACGGUGUGACGCCUGCCCGGUGCCGGAAGGUUAAUUGAUGGGGUUAUCCGUAAGGAGAAGCUCUUGAUCGAAGCCCCGGUAAACGGCGGCCGUAACUAUAACGGUCCUAAGGUAGCGAAAUUCCUUGUCGGGUAAGUUCCGACCUGCACGAAUGGCGUAAUGAUGGCCAGGCUGUCUCCACCCGAGACUCAGUGAAAUUGAACUCGCUGUGAAGAUGCAGUGUACCCGCGGCAAGACGGAAAGACCCCGUGAACCUUUACUAUAGCUUGACACUGAACAUUGAGCCUUGAUGUGUAGGAUAGGUGGGAGGCUUUGAAGCGUGGACGCCAGUCUGCGUGGAGCCAACCUUGAAAUACCACCCUUUAAUGUUUGAUGUUCUAACGUUGGCCCCUUACCGGGGUUGCGGACAGUGUCUGGUGGGUAGUUUGACUGGGGCGGUCUCCUCCCAAAGCGUAACGGAGGAGCACGAAGGUUAGCUAAUCCUGGUCGGACAUCAGGAGGUUAGUGCAAUGGCAUAAGCUAGCUUGACUGCGAGCGUGACGGCGCGAGCAGGUGCGAAAGCAGGUCAUAGUGAUCCGGUGGUUCUGAAUGGAAGGGCCAUCGCUCAACGGAUAAAAGGUACUCCGGGGAUAACAGGCUGAUACCGCCCAAGAGUUCAUAUCGACGGCGGUGUUUGGCACCUCGAUGUCGGCUCAUCACAUCCUGGGGCUGAAGUAGGUCCCAAGGGUAUGGCUGUUCGCCAUUUAAAGUGGUACGCGAGCUGGGUUUAGAACGUCGUGAGACAGUUCGGUCCCUAUCUGCCGUGGGCGCUGGAGAAUUGAGGGGGGCUGCUCCUAGUACGAGAGGACCGGAGUGGACGCAUCACUGGUGUUCGGGUUGUCAUGCCAAUGGCACUGCCCGGUAGCUAAAUGCGGAAGAGAUAAGUGCUGAAAGCAUCUAAGCACGAAACUUGCCCCGAGAUGAGUUCUCCCUGAGACUUUAAGUCUCCUGAAGGAACGUUAAAGACGAUGACGUUGAUAGGCCGGGUGUGUAAGCGCAGCGAUGCGUUGAGCUAACCGGUACUAAUGAACCGUGAGGCUUAACCUU